AUUGGAAGCAUGAUUUGAUAGGGUCUUCUCCCUCAUUCUUAGUAUGUUGGAGCUCUUUCUCUCAUAUUGAACAUAUUGACUGUUCUACUAUUGUUAGAUCUUAGCACCUGGGGGCUUCACUUCUGACAGACAUGUCCCAUUUAAGUGGCUUCAUUAAUUCUCCUUUCUCUGUUUUACUCUUCCACUACAGAGUCCCUUCUCAGUUUAGCUUAAUGUGGAAAUCCUGACUACAAAUUGGAAUUUCAGCUUGAUUUUGUUGAUAAAGAUAAUAGCAGGGGAGGGGUUAUUCCUGGUUGCAGUGGCUUUAUAUAUUUUAAAAUUUUGUGUGUGUGUGUACGUAUGUGUAUGUGUGUGUGUGUGUGUGUAUACACACACAUAUAUAUGUAUAUAUAUAUAUUUUUUUUUUUCUUUUGCACAGCAUGGCCAGUUCAGAUUUGUGGUGUGAGUGUUUGAUGAGUGGAAGGAGAAAGGGUCCUGUUAUUCUGUAGAAAAAUAUCUACUGCAAAUCCUAAGCAUUUUGUGACCAUCAGUUAUAUAUAUAGUGUUGGAACUAAUAUAGCAUAUUAGUUCUGUAUACAACCAGUAUGAUGAGUUUGGGAUUUUUUUUUUAAAGGAAAACUAAACCAAACAAAAUUUAUAUUGGUCCUUAUCACCUAGUAUUUUGGGAUGUGGGAGAAUCAUCAUAGCAGUUAUAAAUAGAAUUUCAGCCUGCUGGAAGAUAGACUGUGUAUCUUUCUGUCUCUGUCCAUCUGUCCCAACAAGGCAGUAUAACAAAUUACACAUUUUCCUUCUAAUUUCCUUAGAUUUUGAAAAAAAAUUUUUACUGAAAAGAUUUUGCCUUAAUUACAGGCUCUGUCAGUGAUCAAGUGUCAUAAAUAACUAUUCAAGUGUCAUAAAUAUCUCAUGAAAUGUACUCAUUUGUCCAGAAAGCAACCCCUAGCCAUGUUUAUUUACCAAUACCUUUUAUCAAAGGUUCCUAAAAACAAGCUUUAAAACUUAAAGCAUGGCAGAGGGUUAAUUGGCUGAUUAUUGUCCUCCCCUGCUGGUAGCAUUAUAUAGCUAUUGACAUAUAGCUAUAUACACAUAUAGCUAUACAUAGAUAGAUGUAUAAUGUAGGCUGUCUAAAAAUGCAUGUUUGUGAAAGAAAAAUUGGCAAUUUUUCAAAUAACUCAGUUGCUGGUUGUGGCAUAUGUGGGUGGGGAGGGACAUUUUUUAAAAAGAUAGAAUAUAGCAAAUAAACUUUACUCACCUUACCCAUAAGAGAAUUAGUCCAAAUGGGCUGUGUUUAAAUAAAUAAAACUAUUUAUCUUUGUCGUUUCCUCACCUUUGUCCCCUUGAAAUACCUGCCCUGAAGAAUAUUGGUUUAUAUUACUUUUAAUCUUUCUCUAUUUCAUAUAAAUAAAAACUUUAAUGUGGACAUGUUUAUUAGUGAAAUUGAAAUGAUUUCCAAGAGAUAUUUAUACACAUAUGUGUGUGUGUGUGUGUGUGUGUGUGUGUGUGUGUGUGUGUGUGUGCUUUUUAAAUGCCACCCAUCAAAUACAUUAAACAAACAAAAAACCUACUUCAGGCAGACCUUGGGAAAUCCUGUAGAUAAGAGAAACAAUUUGUGUCUUACAUGACCACUAAUUUCUUUUUUGACCUGUAUGUUUCUAAUUUGACCAGGCAUUGUUUUUCAGUGCAUAAAUUAUCCCUGAGUAACCUAUCUCCCCAUGUUCAUAAAUGGUUUUUUUCCACAACUGGAUAAGUGUUUUUCAUGUGUACUGUGUAACUGAAAGUGUUUUUGAAAAGUAAGAGUUCUGCCACAGCUAAUACACGAAGCCAUUAACCUUUUGCCAUUGGACUUUUAAUUUUGAGGUACAGAUAAAUCUCCUUUGCUUGGUACAAGGAGAAGGGUGAGGCUGAGUAGGGAGAAGUCAGAAGAACUAAGUUUGUAACUAAGUCAAGUACCCAAAAGAGUAAGAUAGACAAGAUUGUUCUGGGUUAAUAAGUUGAUUGUUUCUAUCCAAAGAGUAAAUUGGCAAUGACUGAAGUCUGCCUUGAUCUUGUUCCUCUUUCCCCAAUUUUUCCUUUUCUCCUUUUUUCUACUUCCUUCCCUAUUUCCCUACCUGACCAGUUUCACUGCCUCCUGACAAUGUUAAUUUAUUGUAUGAAAAUAAAUAAAAUAGAUUUCUCUACCACGCCUGGUUGAUCCACCACCAGGUUUGCCGGCAGCUUUGGCCAUAUUACUAGUGGGAUAGUUUUUCGCGUUCUGAGUGAUUUUUUUUGAUUCUGAUUAUUUACACUGUUUAUAUGGAACGGCAC
ensembl:lncRNA